AUACGUAGGGUGCGAGCGUUGUCCGGAAUUACUGGGCGUAAAGAGCUCGUAGGUGGUUUGUCGCGUCGUCUGUGAAAUUCCGGGGCUUAACUCCGGGCGUGCAGGCGAUACGGGCAUAACUUGAGUACUGUAGGGGAGACUGGAAUUCCUGGUGUAGCGGUGAAAUGCGCAGAUAUCAGGAGGAACACCGGUGGCGAAGGGGGGUCUCUGGGAAGUAACUGACGCUGAGGAGCGAAAGCAGGGGUAGCGAACAGGAUUAGAUACCCUGGUAGUCCAUGCCGUAAACGGUGGGCGCUAGGUGUAGGGGUCUUCCACGACUUCUGUGCCGUAGCUAACGCAUUAAGCGCCCCGCCUGGGGAGUACGGCCGCAAGGCUAAAACUCAAAGGAAUUGGCGGGG
rnacentral:rRNA from 1 species